GGUUGCGGACAGUGUCUGGUGGGUAGUUUGACUGGGGCGGUCUCCUCCUAAAGAGUAACGGAGGAGCACGAAGGUUGGCUAAUCCUGGUCGGACAUCAGGAGGUUAGUGCAAUGGCAUAAGCCAGCUUGACUGCGAGCGUGACGGCGCGAGCAGGUGCGAAAGCAGGUCAUAGUGAUCCGGUGGUUCUGAAUGGAAGGGCCAUCGCUCAACGGAUAAAAGGUACUCCGGGGAUAACAGGCUGAUACCGCCCAAGAGUUCAUAUCGACGGCGGUGUUUGGCACCUCGAUGUCGGCUCAUCACAUCCUGGGGCUGAAGUAGGUCCCAAGGGUAUGGCUGUUCGCCAUUUAAAGUGGUACGCGAGCUGGGUUUAGAACGUCGUGAGACAGUUCGGUCCCUAUCUGCCGUGGGCGCUGGAGAACUGAGGGGGGCUGCUCCUAGUACGAGAGGACCGGAGUGGACGCAUCACUGGUGUUCGGGUUGUCAUGCCAAUGGCACUGCCCGGUAGCUAAAUGCGGAAGAGAUAAGUGCUGAAAGCAUCUAAGCACGAAACUUGCCCCGAGAUGAGUUCUCCCUGAGACUUAGAGUCUCCUGAAGGAACGUUGAAGACGACGACGUUGAUAGGCCGGGUGUGUAAGCGCAGCGAUGCGUUGAGCUAACCGGUACUAAUGAACCGUGAGGCUUAACCUUACAAUGCCGAAG
rnacentral:rRNA from 1 species